rnacentral:rRNA from 1 species
GAUGAACGCUGGCGGCGUGCCUAAUACAUGCAAGUCGAGCGAACAGACGAGGAGCUUGCUCCUCUGACGUUAGCGGCGGACGGGUGAGUAACACGUGGAUAACCUACCUAUAAGACUGGGAUAACUUCGGGAAACCGGAGCUAAUACCGGAUAAUAUAUUGAACCGCAUGGUUCAAUAGUGAAAGACGGUUUUGCUGUCACUUAUAGAUGGAUCCGCGCCGCAUUAGCUAGUUGGUAAGGUAACGGCUUACCAAGGCAACGAUGCGUAGCCGACCUGAGAGGGUGAUCGGCCACACUGGAACUGAGACACGGUCCAGACUCCUACGGAGGGCAGCAGUAGGAAAUCUUCCGCAAUGGGCGAAGGCUUGACGAGGCAACGCGGCGUGGGUGAUGAAGGUCUUCGGAUCGUAAAACUCUGUUAUUAGGGAAGAACAAAUGUGUAAGUAACUAUGCACGUCUUGACGGUACCUAAUCAGAAAGCACGGCUAACUACGUG